rnacentral:rRNA from 1 species
UAAAAAAGUAAUUUAUUUCUUUUAAGUAGUAAUAGUUAUAGUCUUGAAACUUAAAGAAUUUGGCGGUAUUUUAAUCUAUUCAGAGGAACCUGUUUUAUAAUCGAUAAUCCACGAUUUAUCUUACUUAAUUUUGAUUUUCAAUUUGUAUACCGCUGUCAUUAGAAUGUCUUAUAAGAGAAAAAAUUUUCUAUAAAUUUUAUAAAAUUUUAUGUCAAGUCAAGGUGCAGUAUAUGAUUAAGAAAAAAUGGGUUACAAUAAAUUUAUUUAUAUGAAUAAAUAAUUGAAAUAUUAGUUUGAAGGUGGAUUUGAAAGUAAAUCAUUUUAAUUAAAAAUGUUUGAUUUUAGCUCUAAAAUAUGU